GACCUGGUUGAUCCUGCCAGAGGCUACCGCUAUUGGAGUUCGAUUAAGCCAUGCGAGUCGAGAGUCUUAGGGACUCGGCGCACCGCUCAGUAACACGUGGGUAACCUGCCCUAUGCUGGGGAAUAACCUCGGGAAACUGAGAAUAAUGCCCCAUAGCCCACUACGCCUGGAACGGUGAGUGGGUGAAAGCUCCGGCGGCAUAGGAUGGGCCUGCGCCGUAUCAGGUUGUAGGGGGUGUAAAGUACCCUCUAGCCAUCAACGCGUACGGGUGUUGGGAGACAUUGCCCGGAGAUGGAUUCUGAGACACGAAUCCAGACCCUACGGGGUGCAGCAGGCGCGAAAACUUGGCAAUGCGAGCAAUCGUGACCAGGGAACUCCAAGUGCGUAGGGUAAGACCUACGCUUUUCUUGACUCUUCAAAGGUCUUGGAAUAAGGGGUGGGGUAAGGACGGUGCCAGCCGCCGCGGUAAUACCGGCGCCUCAAGUGGUAGUCGCUUUUAUUGGGCCUAAAA
rnacentral:rRNA from 1 species